UACGGCCAUAUCAGGUUGAAACGCCCGUUUCCAUAUAAUCACUGAAGUUAAGCAACGUCAAGCUUUGUCAAUAACAACGUGGGUGACAGGUUGGGAAUACCAGGUGCCGCAAU